UGGAAGCUGUUGGGCGAUACCCUAUAC
rnacentral:piRNA from 1 species